UUGUUACUCCCUCCGUCUAACAAAAGAUGUCUCGAGUUUGUCAAAAUUUGGAUGUAUCUAGACAAAACUUAGUGUAUAGAGGCAUUCAAACUUGAUCAAAAUUGAGACAUCUUUUGUUGGACAGAAGGAAUAUAUA
rfam:Brachypodium distachyon strain Bd21 chromosome 2, whole genome shotgun sequence.